rnacentral:lncRNA from 1 species
UACAAAUAUGGCCUCAAAGGCAUCCUCACUCAUGGCGUUCCCAUACAUGGUGGCUUGAGCAAUGAGGAACUCAGAAGGAAGACCUUGAAUUCCACCUUUGGUAGUCAUAUGAGCACCGACCAGAGAUUCAUCUAUAUGCAACAUGUCUGCUAUCUCUUGAGAAGUAGGAAUAUUCUCUAAGCCACUGAACGACAACUGGUCUAGAAUAGGUAUACCCACAAGGUAGGCAUACUCAUCAAGCGUGGGCAAAAGCUGAAAAUCCGGAAAUGUGAAGCAAC